AUAUGGGACAGCAUUAGCUUCCUGGACUAUUUAUUGGGUGAAAAUCAUAUUCUAGUUCCAGUUUACAUCCUUUCAAUGACUAGUAAGAACAUAAUAGUUCUCUGUAUUUUUCAACAAUAAUCUUAGGGCAACAGAUAAAGUUAUAAAAUAAUUUAGUGAACAGAUAAAGAGAAUGUCAAGUUGGUAUUUUAUAUCCCAGAAAAUCUACGGCUUGUGCAGACCAGUGAAGCAAUUGUAGACUAGGCUGAAGUUCUUUUAUUAGGCUAUGUUAUUUCAAAAAUCAAUGUGUUUUCUAAAGACUAAAUAGUCCUUUAGAAGAAAGGCAUUAAAACUUAUCCGUAGGCAGGCACAGCCAGCACCUGUGAUUUAGAUAGCCGAGAUGUCCGUUUAGGUGGUUUAGGCACAAAUUUAUUCCUAAGCCAGUGAGUGUCCCAUCUCUCAGCACUCACCUAUUUGACUAACAGAAACACAGGCUCGGGUUUUUAUUGACCUCAGGGAGCAUGGGUAAGAUCUCACUGGAGGGCAGCUCCUGAAAGCGCCAGCUUGAAAUAGCAACUACACCGAGGCAGCCCACCCAGGAAAACUGUUUCCCAGCCCGUGAGGACAAACCCCCAAAUCAAUUUACAACCGUAUUCAUGAAAAGCUCGAAGCGAGGUUGCUGUCAGAAUCUACUUCAAAGGCCAAGUUCUAAGAGGGGAUUUCUCUCCCUCCAGCUACCUUCAGGAUGAGACCCUCCUCUUAAAAGAUUUGUUUGAUAUUUACGUAAAAUCAGACUGGUUCUCAGGGAAAUAAUCGCUACAGCUGAGUCAAAGCCAGGCCUGGGAUGGAGCAAAAGCCUUAGGUGCGACUAACUGCCAAGACGGAAAGACGCGAACCCUGUGGGGGCAGAGGAAGGGCCUAGUGGUGAGGCAACCCAGCCCCCUUCCCGGGUGUUUCCAGAGGCGACCACGGAGGCUCGGCAUUGGGAGGCUCCUGCUGACAAGCACAGAGCUAAGCCCGGCAGGUACACCCAAAAAAGAUCCAGCAGACAACGCUCAGAGACCGACAGACCUCCGUGCCGAGUCCGCCGAGUUGUAGACAGGGAGCCAUUGCCAGCUGCACUGCACAUCGCCAAGGAGGGAAGUAACCCUUGGGUCUCGUGGGCACCUCUCCGUGGCCAGGGGCACUCCUUCCGGUUGUGUAGCAAGGCUGAGCACGCCUCUGGCCUGCUGAGGCCCCUGCCCUUGGAGUCAUAGGCUACAUAGCGACACCAGCUCAGUGACGCAUCUCUUUAUCAAAGCCAGUCAUUGGCUGUCAGAGCUCUGAAUGGCACUCCCAACUAAAAUACCAAGCACAGCCACGAGCUGAAGCCGGGCAGCACAAAGCCACCACGGAUUCAGGUCCCUGGGUGGGCCACUGGGUCGUGGAAACUUGUUCGUCUUGGGGUCUCCGACAUAAUAUUUUGGGUGACCUCUGUAUGCACCCGAUUGAAGAGCAUUUUGCCGAAACUCCGUUUGGGAAGCCAGCGUGACUGAGAUCCUUCUGGAUAUCGUGAUUGGCUUUGCUAUGGACAGGUAAACCCGGAAGCAGAGCACCUGAAGAAGAGGAAAGUCUGUCUGAUGUAUCUGCUGCCUCAAGACUUGGGGAUGUUCAUUUUGGGGAUUUACCCUUCUCUUCUAUGCUCCUGAAACUGGACACCAGUGCGGUGAGGGAAGAUUGCCUGCUGGGACAGCACAAAGGGAAGGAUAAUUAAUCAGGUUGUUAUUUGGCACGUGGCCAGAGGUUCCUUGGCAACACGGAUCCUUCAGCUGUCAGCAAUCAGAACACAGGCGGCUUUCAGUGGUCAGCGCCAUUGGAGGGGGCAGUGAUGUGUGUAAUCCGAAACAGCAGAUAAUCCCUCCAAAUCAUUUAAUUUAUCCUUUGAAUGAUUUUCACAUGUAUACACACGAUUUCUUCCCCUCUCAUGUUCCACUUAGAUUAAAAAUAAAACUAAUGUGCAUUCUUUGAAUAUAUACUGUACCAGUUGGUAAGAAGUUUCCUUUAGGAGCCUGGAUCUCAGAUUAAACAUUUUCUAUGGAUCACUCAUUAAUAAUCAAGGGUUUAAUAUAUUUGACUCCAUAGACUCAUUGUGCUGGAAGAAAACAAAGCACUUCUUCACACGCUUUGCUUUGAGUCAAUUGCUUGAGACCUUGUGGAUAGCUAAAUGUCCACCCCGUUUGUCACUACUUCAUUCCGAGGAAUUCUCCUAUUGGCUGCUCCUUUAGCCAGGUGUAUCAGCUCAAGUGUUUCCCAUUGGCUGUGUGAUGGUGAUGCGAAGCUAAAAUGCCAAGCCUAAAAAACCCAGUGUCCCAACCUUGACAGCUCAUUAGAAUCAUCCAACAGUGUUAAAAACAUUCCAUGUCAAUUAAAUUAAAGUCUGGAUUGUGAGCAGGGGACACUGGUUGAGUUUGGGGCAUCAAAGUUGAAUAAGCUCUCUAGUGCGAUCAAGGUUGAGAACCACGGCUCAGCAUCCUGACUCCUACAAAUAGCCACAGACAAACCUCCUCACUGCUGUGUCUCAGUUUCAUCUACAAAGUUGAAUGAUGAGAUUGACAGUUUAAUACUUGCCUUGCUGAAUUGCUGAGAAUUUAAUACAUAGAAAACUCCUAUUACAGUUACUAACACAUAAAAAGCAUGAUGUAAAAUGUUAGCUGAUAUCACUACCACUCCUACUACUGUUACUACCAUUUGAGGGACCUAGAGAAGCAGCAUUCAAAGGGUUUGUGUAGACACACUGGGCUAAAUGAGGACCCUUUUUGUUUUGGGUUUUUUCUGGUACCAGGGAUCGAACUCAGGACCUCGUGCUUGUGAGGCAGGCAGCGGCACCACUGAGCUAAAUGCCUGGCCCUAGGACUCCUUUUGAAAUGUUGGCUUGUGGACCUUGGCGUUUGACUUCUCUACUCAACAAAAUAUCCAGUGAGUUGGAUGUAAAAGCAUAGUCACUGGGAAGAAAUUAACUAGCUCCUGAAAAGGGAUUUACUGCUCAGCUUGGCAGAGGAAAAGGGGGAACAUAUUAGUGGGUUGAAUUUGAUCUCUGUGGUUUUUUUAAAAUUACCACAGCACUGGCCAUUGUUCACUCACUCAACACUUAUUAUAUUGUUUAUUAUCAUGCAACAGUUAAUGACAGAAUCUGAUUUAAAGCCUUUCUGGUCCCACUGUUCCAUUCCAGUCACAUCUCCAUCUCAGCAGCUGUGAUGGGAUGGGGUGUGUUUAAAUGGGCAGUUGCUUCCCUGGGCCCGCAGGGAACAUCUUAUAUCAGUUUUCUUGUGGUUUCGAGAAGUUUUGUACAAUAAUUUCACUGUAAUGCCAGGAAUUGUUUGAUUUCUCAUUGUUAUAAACUGAAUGUUUCUGACCCCUCAAAAUCCCUACACUGAAACCCUAAACCUCAAUGUGAUGGUUUUAGAUGGUGGAGCCCUAGGGAACAGGAUUAGUGUGCUCAUAACAGGGGUCCAGGAGCAGCCUCUCCGCUUCAUAAGGGAAUGAUGAAAAAAUGGCUGUUAGCAGCCCGGAAGAGGGUCCUCAGCAGAGCCCAAGCAUUCUGGGACCCGGACCCUGGACUCCCAGCCUCCACACCACUGAGAGAGAUAAGUUUCUAUUGUGCGUAAGCUAGCCAGUGACUUUUCUACAUUUCAGUCUCAACUUUCCCUACCUUGACGAGUCUGGGCGCCAUCCCUUUUCCUUACCCGGUUACUGGAUAAUCACACAUGGUCAGUCCCUAGGGUGAGCUAGGAAAAUAUUGGCAAAUAGCCUUCAACUCUUGGCCUAAGGUGGUCUCUGCUGUACGACAUUGAUACCUGAAUGAUUGGCUGAGAUGAUCGAACAGAUAUUUAUUACAAAUCCACUUGAAUUUUGUGAAGGCUCCCGGAACGAGUGACUGCUGGCCCGGAUCUCAGUCUUGAGCAGAAAACAGUUAGGGUGCCAGAGGAAAAGUGAGGUACCCAAGGUUUGACUCCUUGCGGGGCAAGUUUCUUAUGUCCUCUGAGACUUUCCUCAUCCGCAAAGUGGAAAUUUUAGUAAAACUUCUUGGCUGCACCCUGGGAAGAUUAAAUGAAGGAAUACCCAAAAAAGCACGCAGCAUGUUAGCUGGCCAAGCAGCAGCGGUUCAAUAAAGGGUAUUUCUUGCCCUGAAUCCCUCUUUCCCAGUUAUACAGCAACACAGAGAAGCGAUUGCAGGCACAAAUCUUUUAAAAUAUUUUUAACUCAACUACAUUGUUGCCUAAAACACUGCUUUGUUAGUUUAAUGCAGAUGUCACAGCAGCCAUCAGUUCCAAAGACCAACUGAUUCAAGACAGUUCUGUAAUCCUGAGGUCUGAGGAGGGAAGGUGGGGUUGCAAGCUCUCCUCAGACUCCAUUGGGCAAGUCUGACAGAAGAAAAUACAUUUUUUACAUAUAAUCUGUAGGUUUUAGAAACAUUUAUAAUUUUUUAAAAUAAAAGGCCAUGUUAAGUUGAAGAUGUGAUUUUUUUAAAAAAUGUUCUUCCAAAAUAGCUAGUAUUCUGCAAACUCAUUCAACGAAGUUGUUUAUUCUCCAAAGUGCUGCCCAUAUUGGUAUCACACCUGUUUAACCACACCGAUAAGCAACCUGGAAACUCACUGUUAGCGCAGAGGACUUUGGACUUUGUGGAAAUGAACAAACUGUAACAUCUACUUAUUGCCAACGCGUCGGUGGUGAUUGUGCUUAGAAACCAUUUUUCCAAAUUUGCUUUGCACCUAAAGAUUACCUACAACUGGUGGUAAUGUUAAAAUACUACAGCUUCCUAGCUGGUAGGUAAAGAAGUGCUGAAUAUCACUUUGAAAAACAGGUGCGGGCUGGGGAUGUAGCUCAGUGGUUCUGCCACCUGCUUCACAAGCUCAAGGACCCGAGUUCAAUCCCUGGUACCAAAAAAAAAAAAAAAAAAGAGAAAAAGAAAGAAAGAAAAACAGGUGUAUAAUUAAUUAGUUUUACUUUUUAAAAAUAAAGGUGCCCCUUUGAGAAAUAUUCUAGCACAAAUACAUAAUAAAAUCGCAAUAUCCAUACACAAAAGUAAACUUUCACAUUAAGGUGAGGAGGAGUCAUUCUAAUUCUGUGAUUAAAAGUUAUUGGAUUGGAAAAAGGUUAUUUUAAUAAAAUCAAGGACAUAUUAAAAUGUACAGUAUAGAGUGAUUCUUAAAGUGCCCAUCACUCAACUGUAACAUCAGCCUCAGUCAAGCCUGCCCCAUCCACACCCUUUUCAAACACACUUCCCCCUGCCCACUGUUUUUUGUUUUGUUUUGUUUUUGAGAUGGUCUAAAUCACUAAAUUAUCCGAGAACUUGCAAGCCUUCCACAUAAGCCUUCCAGGCAUGUGUCACCACACCCAGCUCCUAUAUUAUUUUGAAGUAAAAUCCAGACAUAUAACUUCACCUGUAAACAUUUCUGUACUUGUCUCUAAAGAGUAACUACUAUCUUGUCAAAAUAAGCACAACACCAUCACCACACCUAAAAGAACAGUUUCUCAGGUCAUCAAAUAACCAGGCAAUGUUCAAAGUUCCAGUUGUCUCAUACUACCAAAACUUUUUUAAAAAAUCAAGACCCCAUUAAGUACAAGCUUUGUGAUUGACUGAGGUUUUUGGAGUGUCCUCUUAAUUACAGAGCCUCCUCCAUCUUUGUAUUCUCCCUUGCAAUAAAUUUGUUGCUUGUCCUCAAAAGCGCGCGUGCGCACACACACACACACUGAGUUUUGUUAAUUGUAUCCUGGGGUGGUGUUUAGUAUCUUUUUCUGUAUUUUAUUUUUGAAAAUUUGUAACUAGGAGCUUGAUCCACAGGUAAGUUUUUAAAUGUUUUGACUUUCAUCCUUUUUCAAUUCAUUCAACUUUUACCUAAUACCUACUAUGAAUUUGUAACUGUAGGCUGCUAUGGAAACAAAACUGCAUCAGGAAUGUAGGUAAGAGUGAAGGAAAUACACGUAGACAGAAUUAGAAUCGGUGUUAUUGUGUUAAAGCCUAAAAUGGGGCUUAAGAAGCCCUGUGGUGGUGGCAACUAGCUUUCCAGAGAGAACAGGGAGGAAGGCUUUACUGAGAUGACUCAGGAACUAGAAUUGGAAAAAGGUAGAACAGGGACAGAGGGAGAGAGGAAGGGCAGGCAAUUUCCAGUCCAAGGGAUCAGCAUAUGCAAAUAUAAGAAACGAGCUGGAGAUUUAGCUCAGUGGUUCCAGCAACUGCCUCAAAAGUGCAAGGUCCCGAGUUCCAUCCCCGGUACGAAAAAAAAAAAACCAACAAAAAAACAAAAAACACAGCUGAAAGAUCUGGCUGCCUCAGGUAGGAUUACUGAUGACAGUGUCUCUGAAAUGGAUAAAAAUAUCCUAAACUCCCUCUCUUCCCUAUUGCUAACUCCAGGAAAAUUGCCUGCUUAGUUCCUGCCUCCUUGGACUCUGGAGGAGCGUAUGGCUUUUAGAAGGAGUUAGUCAUCCGGGCAGAGGGGAGGAGUCCCAGGAUAGCAGAGAAAGACUGACAGCAGACGAGAGGCCGGAGCUGAGCGCUCCGGAACAACGCUUUGGGCAGCGCCCAGCUGGCCUAGUUGGUGACUGGGGCCUUUGGCACACGCAGAGGGGAAUCGUUUACACACGUAUAAUUCACCGGCAGCCUCUGCAACCGUGACCGUGAUCGAUAAAUACGAGGGCAGAAUCUGAUUCUGCAAAUACGAGGAGAUGCCUGGGGGAGAAAGUGGCAAGAGGGGUCGGGUGAGAGGAGCAGACACCUCCCGAGAGGACACUCCCAACAGUCCCAGGCUGCCCUCCUGCGACGACACUCCCGUCCCUCUCCUGACUGGCAAACUCCGGCUCAUUUUCAAGCCAGCUCAGGGCCACUGCCCCUGCCCCUCGCAGCCCUUCAGCAUGCCCAGGUGGGACGGGCCGCCUCCCUUACUUCACUCGUGCAGCACGUGCACGGUCUUUGUCCCUGCUCUCACCCCUCUGUACCAUCGUCUGCUUGGGCCUUCUAGCUUCUGUAUUUGACCCCUUUUAUAGGGAUGUGGCCCAUUCUUCAAGUUUCUGUGCCUAGUCUAGCACCACUACCCAAAGACACGUCGUGGACAUUUGUUUGGCGACUAGUUGAAAAUAAUAAAAGAUCCAGUGUUCUGGCAUUUGAAUUACAAUAUGUUCUGAAGAAAAGAAUGCAGAGUUUGGAAGCCACGCGCCUUCACUUCAUAUACCUCAUGAGCUGUAUGGUUCUGGGCAUGUUUGAAAGCUUCCUGCUCCUGAUUUCCUCCAUUUAAAAUAGAAGUAUUUCCUGGGAUGGUAGACAGCACAAAGUGCAAGAACAAAUGGAAAAUUUAUACAAAAACAAAAGCACUUCAUUUCU
ensembl:lncRNA